rnacentral:misc_RNA from 1 species
AUUUUAUUCACUUUUAGUUAUAUAUUUUUAGCAUAAUUAUUAUUAUUCCAUUUUAGAGUUGAUGUAUUACCGUUAAAAUAUUUCAUUUUAGGCAAAAUCCAAGCAGCUCACCUAGAGGACUCCAGGCACCUUGCUUGGGAGGCCUGUAGGUGAGGCGCCUUCAACUAGGCAUUGCCAAGACGAGGUGAGGAGCCCCUAGGAGAGAAAAAUGGGAGAAAUUAAAAAAAAUAAAGUUGAGAAAGAGAAAAGCUGAUUUGUUUCACCUUUUGGGAUCUACAUGAUGACUAGACAAUUAGGAUUUUGAGUUUG